UUGCGGAUUGAAUGAAACGGAUAAUGUGUCCCAAGUUUUUGUGUGUACACGUCAUUUCCAUUUACACCAUUACAAUGUCGCAAAUAAAAAGAUAAGGUUACUUUCUGUAGCUGUACCUAGCACAGUUAUUUUAAGUCCUGAAGCAGAGGUUGAAAAGAUUUGUUCUCUUCCACCAAAGAAAAAUUCAACGGACAUUACCUAUGAUAAUCACUGCAUUGUUCAAUCGGACGAAAUAAUACAACCAUGUAUUCAGAGCGACAAUAUUGAAUCCAGCAUUGUUUUGGAUUACGUCGAAAACAUCUGUGAUUCUCAAUGUUACAAUGGUUUUGAAGAAUUAACACCUAAGAAAGGCCGUCGUGUUUUACACAGCCUCGAUACGUUUCCGAAAUUAAAUUGUCUGAUUUUGCUACUCCUCGAAAAGCUAAAAUGACAUUAAACUUUGUAAAGUCUAUGGAUGUUAAAAAGUCUAAAACUAUUGCACAACUAAAAGCCGCAAAUAGGAAACAAGCUAAACAGAUUGCUAACAUGAAACAGAUGUUGUCUCAUCUUCAGAAAAAAGAAGUGAUCUUAGAAGGUCCUAAGAAUACACAAUAAAGUAGAAUGGAUGUAAAUCUUGUGCAUCAAAAAAGCAAAUAGAAGUUUUGCUCCAACAGUUUUUUGUUUGACAUUAAAGUAAACGAAAAAAGGAACAGAGAAAAAAAUUGAAUGACAAUU